CAACUUCUACAGGGAACCUCAUGGAGAAAGAAAAGAAACAUUUCCCAAAUCCAACUAUCAUAGGAAACCGAGAGAAAUGAUUAAUAAUGCAAUAUGGAGAACCAAAACGGUGGUAUACCUCGAGCAGUGAGGAAAGAUUCCUCAUAAAUGAUCUUAAACCCACACUUAAAACCAAAAGACAACCACAAUUAGGAAACGGAUAAAACUUUCAAGCUUUCACCUCCACCUAAAUCUCUCCCUCUCUAUUUGACAUGUUCGUCACCUUUCUUAUAGGAAAGCUCAAAGGAAACCAGAUUUCCACCUUAACACAAAACUGAUGGUGAUAAUAGGAAAGCAGAUCCACCCUUAGCAAUGUAAACCAUAAACUAUCAUGAAGCCCUAUCAUAAAACAAAACUCAUGCACAACACAAGAACCUCAAAGCGAAAUACCAGAACAAGUCAUUAAUGCAGAUGCAAAUCGAUUCAAGAAUUCGAUGGUGUCAAAAUAAAACCAGAGUAAAGGAACAGAGGAUUAAGGAUCUACCAUAUUGAGAUGCUUUGGCGGUGAAUGAACAACGGUGUGCUUUCCCCCUGGGAUUUCAGCCUACCCCAGAUCCCGACGAUCCUUUACGCAUAUCUCUACACGAUUCAUGGGUUUAGCUCGGUUUGCUCAAAGUUCUAGUGAUGAACCUUGAGUAUCCCUUUGGUAUCUUUGAGCUUUGGUGCAGGUUGAGGUGGGAUUUUGACAGGGUAACGGUGCCAAAAUUAGGUCUCCCUCAUCCCAGUGAUGGAUGCUCUUUAUAUAGCUUUGGAGGUACGAGGUUUCUCACUCCUGAGCUGGCAAAGAUUCCAAAAAUCCGUUAGGCUCAAAUCGUUUCCAGAUUUUGGUGUGGUCCCAGGAAUGAAGGUGGUGAGAUUUGUUUCUGUUUUGUCCAUAGUGAGCGAGAAAGCGACGGGUGCGGUGAAAUUCUUCUUUACUGCAGUAAGAACUUUAACUUGAUCUUUAUGUUUCUAAUCCUUUUAUAUAACUGGGACUUUCUCUUUUCAUCCAGUCUGGUAACCGGUAAUUCUUGUCUCUAUACCUUGGUUUAUAAUUCCUUGUCGGUAUACCACAGUCGCCUCUUGUUCAUAACCUUGGCUUGCAGCAUUAACUUGUAACCUUGUCCUUCAUUUGCCUAUUGUUCUACUCCUGGUCUGGCUAUUGUGACGUUAUCCGAGCAUUGCAAGAUGUAAGGUUGGUGUUUUUGUAAGGAGGCAUUUGUGUUAUGCAGGUUUAGAUGUUGAUUCCCAUAUCCUAGCUUGGGAAUCUAAUUUGACAGUCUUAUUAGCCUCAAAAACGGCUUCCAAUGAAUUUCCCUGUAAUGGGAGGCAACCAAUCAACAGAGCACACAGGAGCACUUCAGCACUCCAAAUAUCAACCUUCUCAGAGUAUUUGCCCGACAAUACUUCGGGAGCAACAUAUGCAGUGCUUUCAGCCAAUCCAGUCAAGUUUUGACCUUCUGAAUUUCUCAUGGUCUUUGCUGCUGCUGAUGCAUUGCUGGAUGUUUGUUAUGAUCAUGAUGUAUUUUGGCUAGUGGCUGUAGCACCUGUAUCCCGAUUCUACAGCAAGAUUACGUCGCGGCAUGCACCUGUUGGCAAGGUUUGAAUGAUUGUGUGGUUUAAACCAACAUCUUGUUGUAUUAAAUAUGUACAUGGCUUUAGAGUUCUGCAGGUUGGUGUUUGUAAACUGUCAUCACAGGGUAACUUCUUUUCAUGUGACUCAAGACUUUGUAUCAAAAGAUAUUUGUGAUCACUGAUGGUGAGAACCUGUUUUCUUUACGCAGGAAGGAAGCCCUAAAAAAAAAUUGUGCAGAUCCUACAAGAUCAUGAGCGACUUCCAUCAGCAGCAAGAACAUAUUAGUUCCUACACUAGUAUCACUUCCGGCUACAUCUAGGACAUGGAUGAUGGUUAUGAGGUUAUGUACUCCACAGAACUACAGGUCUUAUGGCAUGUUUGGCAUGACAAUGGUGGCUUGUAAAUUGACAAUGUUAUGUGACAUGGUAUGCUAUAUUCUACUUGCAGCGAACUGGUUUGUUUUGGAAUGUGGCAGUAAUCACUCAAUUAUAUUAUGCCAUUGUUUUAUUUGGUCAUGAAUAACUUGGCAUAGUGAUAACGAUAUCAUGCUAGGCGUUUUUGCAGGUUCAAUGUUGCACAAUGGGCUUGGCCAAGGCUUGGAGAAAAAGCUGCAAAACAAGUGAUCCUGAACUCUGGUGAUGAAACAUGAACAAUUGAGGUUUAGGUCUUUUUUAGGAAAUGGUCAAUAACUGGUUUGUUGGAAUUUGGCCAACCUUUGUAGAGAAUUUGUUAAUUCCUUAUGAUUUUGUAAUGAUGAUUUGUAAUGGAAUUUCUAAAAAGUGAAUUGUUAUUGUAUGAUUUUUAAAGGUGCAUGAAACAGUUUUUGUGAAGUGAAA